rfam:Oryza rufipogon genomic scaffold, chr05
AAUAAGCGUAGUUAUGAGUUUCAAUGUCUAACUUUGACCAUCCGUCUUAUUUAAAACAUUUUUAUAAUUACUAUUUUUAUUGUUAUUAGAUGAUAAAAUAUGAAUAGUACUUUAUGCGUGAUUUAACUUCUAAAAUUUUUUCAUAAAUUUUUCAAAUAAGAUAGAUGGUCAAACGUUGGGUACAGAAACUUAUGGCUGCACUUAUA